AAAAAGAUAAGCUAAUAAAGCUUCUGGGUUCAUACCCCAUUUAUAAAGGUUUAAUUCCUUUUCUUUUUA
rnacentral:tRNA from 1 species